rnacentral:rRNA from 1 species
UACGGAGGGUGCAAGCGUUAUCCGGAAUCACUGGGUUUAAAGGGUGCGUAGGCGGUUCGGAAAGUCUGUCGUGAAAUACUCUGGCUUAACCAGUAGAACUGCGAUGGAUACUUCCGAACUUGAAUUGGGUUGAGGUAGGCGGAAUGUGACAUGUAGCGGUGAAAUGCAUAGAUAUGUCAUAGAACACCGAUUGCGAAGGCAGCUUACCAAGCCUUGAUUGACGCUGAGGCACGAAAGCGUGGGGAGCAAACAGG